GCCCCCUCCCUUUAUCUCAAAGUUUCAAACACAUGCCUACCAAAGUUUAUAUUGCCCAAAUUUAAAAGUUAUGGUAAGAUAUGGCCGAAGAUAUGGUGUUUUAUUUAUCGAUUCAUACUAAAACAGAUUAUAUCUUUGUAGAUGAAGAAUGGGUUGUAUGGAGAUCUCAAAGAAUGAAUCUUAGGGGAAUUGAUAGAAAAAAAGAGAAAAGUACAAAUGGCUUGUAAUUUUGUUAUAUUUUAAGAAUAAGAUUUUCUUGAUUUUGAUUGUAUAUUUUGUUAGCGAUGUAAUGAAAUUUGCUUGUAAUGACUUAU